UAGGAGUGCUGCUGCUGCUGCUGGUUCCGCCGCCGCUGCUGCCAUUCCUGGCGGAGUCCUCCGGGUUGGGAGCCGCCGCUGCCAUUCUGCUACCAGCUCUGGAGACAUGUGCUCCGGCAGCACAUAGGAGAUAUCAUCCCAGGGGUGGCGAUACAGACCCUGCUUCAGCCUCUUCUGGUCCAGGUUCUGAGCAAGUCCACAAAGGCCACACCAAUGAAGCCAUCCACAUUCAAGAUCAGGUUGGGCUUCUAGGUACCUGUACACGACUGAGGCACCUCCUCCAGCCACCAUGGUCCAGAUUCUGCCUCGAGGAUUCAACAGAGUCAGUUUGAGACUGGCACCGCUCUUUGCAUCAAGAUCAGCGAUCUGUGGAGACCGUCUGGGUCAACAGAAGGAACCUUCCUGUUGCCCCAGCAGGAGGCAUGGAAGGAGUGAAGAUGAGGUGGAAGUGGCUGGUUAUCAAAGCAGCAGCGCAGCCACAUCAACAUGAACAGCUGCCACAGGGCAUGUACUGUUGCCCAAUUACUUCAUUAGAAACACAAGCUGCCUUCAUCAAGCAGGACGGAACUGGAUCGAUGAAAACCUACCCAGAGGGUUGAUCUCCAGGUAUGUGAAGAAGAGAUCCUCAUACAGGUUGAAGAGUCCAACGAUGAAGCUGGCAAGAAUCCUGCAAAAGGAUGACGAUAAAGCAGAUUUCUCCUUGUACAUGAUUUCAAUAAUCAAUGCAAAGAUUUAUCUUUCAUUUCCUAAGCCGUUAAUUCUUCUUUUAUAACAUAAAGCAAUGUGCGAGUAUUUUUAAUCGGCUCUAUGUUCUAUAAAGAAAAACUGCAAAAGAGAUAAAUAGAAGCUAGAGCACAAAAAACAAGACGUUCAGAUGGCCUUGAAAACUUGCCUGAAAUUAAAACAUUGUAUGAAACAGAACUUCAGCGGCUAUAACUGGAUACAGUGUGUAAGAUUUUACAUUCUAUUAAAUUUUGUGCCUAACUGCA